rnacentral:lncRNA from 1 species
ACCAGUAGACUAUCUGAGAUUUAUUUUUCUUGUUCAAUAGUGAUUACUUUUAGAAUGAGUGUAAAUGAAAUCCUAAAAUAUAUUGUUUGAGAUGAUUUCAUUUUGAACUUUCUUGUAUCACAGGCAUCAAAGAGUGCACUUCCUUACAAAGUGCUGCACCAAGAAUCCUCAGCCAAGCUUUGAACCUUCAUUGGUGAGAAGCCAGUCACAGCAAACAGAAUUCAAGAGCUUGGGGAUGAACACGUGGUGGUGAUAAGAAAUGAGUUUCUCCCACAGCCAGGUCCAGAUGAGAUCAGCAAUAUGGACAUCUUAGUUUUCCAUAGAGAGAGAAAUUUCAAGAAAUAUCUGCUGUUGCUCUGAGGGAUCUGUUUCAAGACCAGAGAAUCCUACAAAAUCCUUUAGGCCAAACUGCACAUGGGCAUGAUGAUGUUAUGAAUGUUAUGUUAUGUAUGUUAUGAAUGCUGCUGAUAUGAUGCUGAUGCUGCUAUUAUGAUGUGCAAACAGAACAUGUCUACAGAGGGCUGCAAAGGCAGAUCCUCAAAAUAUAAUAUCCCCCCCUUGCUCAUUUGAGACCCACAACAAUUUUUUAUUAACUGAAACUCUAUUAUUUACUGUGUUGAAUUCACCUCUCUUUUAGGGACUUUAUAUCCCUCUGUCACUUUGCUCUUUCUUUCUGCAAUUACUCUGUAUUCUGUGUGCCUUAACAUUAUCCUCCUUUAUCAUUAAUUAAAGGUGGAAAAAAAAUCAUAGAAUAAAUCAGGUUGUAAAAGACCUUUAACA